rnacentral:lncRNA from 1 species
UUUUUGGAUGCAUGUUAUUUUUUAAGAGAAGUUUCCUUAAAAAAACUAGAGAAGAAAGAUGUACCACUUAAAGGUCCAGAAAUUAGAUGACUAACUUCAUUUACUUCAACAAUGAGAGCUAGAGACAGGGUUGUAGUAUAUUAAACAUGAAAAAAACAAAACAAAACAAAAAAACAAACCACCAACCAAAACCCAAAUCUAGCCUAGAAUUCUAUAUCAAAGUAUUUUUCAAGAAUGAAGACAAAGUUUUUAUAUUUUGAAUACUAUCAUUUUUAAAUAUAUAUCACUUACCACCAAGAAAUCCUUAUCAAGGUAAAUUUUAGAAGACGAAUUGAAUUUCAGGGAAAAGUAAAAUUAUCCAAAAUGGAAGGACUGGGAUGCAAAAGGGAAUGAUGAACAGAUAUAUUGGUAAGUAUGUGGGAAAAUCCAAAUAAAUAUUAACUAUAUAAAAUAGGUACAAAAAUGUUUGAUUUGUUAGAGAAAAAUAGGAUGGGAUCAAUAUAAAAUCUAGCAUAAUUGUUCAAAUUCUUGUUCAAAGUUAAAUUGAUAAUUGUUGAAGGUGGGUGAUGGACACAGGAGAAUUCAUUACACUCUUCCAUCUUCAAUAGUACAAAAUUGACUUUUAAAAAAGACACAUAAAAAAGGUAUCCCAGGAGAAUAUUAACCCAAAGUAAUUUUGUAUUGCUAUAUGCAUAUCAGAUAAAAGGGAAAAACAUGGCUAGAGGGGUAUUAUACAGAAUAAGAGCAUCAAUUCAUAUGAAAGAUGUAAAAAUUCUACUUUCUAUGCACCUAAUUGUUCAGCUUCAAAAAUAUAUGGAAAAAAAUGGAAAGAACUACUAGGAGAGAGAAAAAAUACAUCAAUCACUAUAUUGGGAAAUUUUAACACAUCUGUUUUACUAAUUGUAUCCAACACACACAUAUACACCACUGAGGAGUUAGAAAAUUUGAACACAAAGAAUAAAUUUGGCCUAAUAGUCUAAAUACUGAAAAAAAAAAAACAGACUUUUCAAGAAUAGGAACAUACUUUACAAAACUGUCACGUGUAGUGAGAUCUUGGAAAAAUUUUUAUAUAUCAGUUACAUAUACAUCAGAGGAAAGCAUGUUCAAGUAAAUUAUGCUAAGAUUGUUAUCCAUGUGACGAGAAAAAUAUUGGAUCUCUAUACUUCAUACCAUACUCAAAAAGUCCCCAUGGAUUAAUAACCCAAAUAUAAAAUGUGAAGCUUUAAACCUUUUAGAAUAUCUGUAUCAUUUCUGGAUAGAGAAGUGUAUUAUUUUUAAAAUAAUACACUAACAGCUUAAUCUACAAUAAUUUAGGACGAUGAUUCUUUGGGUAGAAGGCAAGAUAUAAAGAGAGGGAGAUGCAAUCAUACAGGUAUAAAUGAGGGCUUCAACUUUAUUGGCAAUGAUUUCUUCAUUAGCUGGUAGGCACAAGAAUAUUCAUUAUAUUAUUCUAUACUAUUCUUCAUGUCAGAAGAAUUUUACAGGGAAUUUUUUAACGUAAAACAAAUACUUGUCUACACUAUGCAAAUACACAUUAUAACAACAGUUCAAUCAUGAGAUUAAGGUGAAAUGGAUUACAUAGUAUCUAUGUAAAUGGAAAAGAAAAUAAUGAAAAAAACAAAGGAAAUCCUAGUUAGAAGGUAGAGGAAAUGGGAAUAAUUAAGAAAUCUCUUCAGAGGACCCUAGGUGGCUCAGUUGGUUAAGUAUCUGACUCUUGAUUUCUGUUCAAGUCAUGAUCUCAGGGUUACAAGAUUGAACCCCAUGCAGGUCUCUGCACUGAGUGUGGAGCCUGCUUAAGAUUCUCUCUCCCUCUCCCCUUCACCACCCACCACAUGCUCACAUGUGCUUUCUCUAAAAUAAAAUCUUUCAAAAAAAUAUUUAAAAAAGAACAUCUCUUCAGAUAUGGCGGCUAAUGAGUGGAAAUCCAGUCUUUGAGUAAUGUUUACUAGAUGUGCUUAAAAAAAAAAAAAAACUUCCACUUAAUCUGAUGUAACAUUUCAAAUUACAUAUGGUUACUACAUUGCUAUAUUACAAAUAAGACUCAGAUACUAUAAAUGGUGCAGCCAGAGUUUUCUUGGCUCCAAAGCCAGUAUUUCCUUCCAUUAUAUGUUGGCAUUAACAGAAAUGGCCCAGUUGGGAAGCAAGCACACAUGCACAUAUAUGCAUGAUCAUCAAAUAGUCUUUUUUUAAAAAAGAUUUUAUUUAUUUAUUCAUGAGAGACACAGAGUGAGAGGCAGAGACAUAGGCAGAGGGAGAAGCAGACUCCCUGCAAGAAGCCUGAUGCGGGACUUGAUCUGGGUACCAGGAUCACACCCAGAACUGAAGGCAGAUGCUCAACCACUAAGCUACCCAGGUGUCUCCAUCAAAUGGUCUUUAAAAGAUGUUUGCAAGGGUGCCUGGUUAAGGAUUGACUCUUGUUUUCAACUCAGGUCAUGAUCUCAGGGUGGUGAGAUGGAGCUGCCUCAGGCUCCAUGCUGAGUGCUUGUGGAGCCUGCUUGGGAUUCUCUCUCCCUCUGCCCUUCCCAUGCAUUCUCCUCUCUCUCUCUAAAAAUAAAAAAAAAUAAAAGAUGUUUGCAUACAACAAAAAUUACAGGUCUUUGAGCACAGUAGUGUUAGUUGCCUCACCGGGAUCUAAUUACAGAACCAGCCUCAACCAAAUAUUCACAAGACUUUGGAGGUUAUUCAACCCAGCAUAGUCCUGCAGAAAAAAAAAAAAAAAAAAAAAAAAAAAA